UGAGAUUUUAAAGGACAAAUGGAGUCCUGCCCUCUAGUAUUCAAGCACUUCUCAGUGCGCCAAAUCUGGAUGACCCAUUGUCGGACAACAUAGCUAAACAUUGGAAGGCCAAUGAAGCAGAGGCUGUUGAAACUAAUUUUGUACUCAAAAGAAGUGAAAGCACAACUUUUGCAGGUUGCAUAUGUCAAUAAUCCGAAUGACUUAUCUCCAAACAAUUAUUUCUCGAAUGCAAGUCACGAGCUUGGAGGGAACGAGAUUAUGUGUAGAUGUUGGAUGAGAUUAUGUAUUAUGUAUAUAUAAUGGAUGAGAUUAUGUAUUAUAUAUAGAUGUUGGAUGAGAUUAUGUAUUAUGUAUAGCUGUUGGAUGAG